UGGCUCAGUUGGUAGAGCAUGGUGUUUGCAACGCCAGGGUUGUGGGUUCAAUACCCAU
rfam:Salmo salar isolate Sally breed double haploid chromosome ssa02, whole genome shotgun sequence.